rnacentral:rRNA from 1 species
UACGGGGGGGGCAAGCGUUGUUCGGAAUUACUGGGCGUAAAGGGCUCGUAGGUGGCCAACUAAGUCAGACGUGAAAUCCCUCGGCUUAACCCAGGAAGUGCAUUUGAAACUCACGAACUUGAGUCCCGGAGAGGAAGGCGGAAUUCUCGGUGUAGAGGUGAAAUUCGUAGAUAUCGAGAGGAACAUCGGUGGCGAAGGCGGCCUUCUGGACGGUGACUGACGCUGAGAUGCGAAAGCGUGGGGAGCAAACAGG